GACGAACGCUGGCGGCGUGCCUAAUACAUGCAAGUCGAGCGGACGGAUGGGAGCUUGCUCCCAGACCGUCAGCGGCGGACGGGUGAGUAACACGUGGGCAACCUGCCUGUAAGACUGGGAUAACUCCGGGAAACCGGGGCUAAUACCGGAUAACUCUUUCCCUCACAUGAGGGAAAGCUGAAAGAUGGCAUCUCGCUAUCACUUACAGCUGGGCCCGCGGCGCAUUAGCUAGUUGGUGAGGUAACGGCUCACCAAGGCGACGAUGCGUAGCCGACCUGAGAGGGUGAUCGGCCACACUGGAACUGAGACACGGUCCAGACUCCUACGGGAGGCAGCAGUAGGGAAUCUUCCGCAAUGGACGAAAGUCUGACGGAGCAACGCCGCGUGAGUGAUGAAGGUUUUCGGAUCGUAAAACUCUGUUGUCAGGGAAGAACAAGUACCGGAGUAACUGCCGGUACCUUGACGGUACCUGACCAGAAAGCCACGGCUAACUACGUG
rnacentral:rRNA from 1 species